rnacentral:lncRNA from 10 species
CACAAAUGUGGCUGGAGAGAGUGGACGGGCAGGCUCUGCAGCUGUUCAAACUUUCUCGGCCACCUUCCCAGGCCAUGAGGACUCCCCACUCAUGGGCCUGUCGGAACCGUGCUGGGGAAUGUGAGAAGCUGAGCUGCGUCAGGACAGGAGCUUUCGCCUAUUUUGUUCUCUGCAUCACCCCUGCACCUGGAUGAGAGCCUGGUGGGUAGUAGGACCUCUGUGCAUGGUUGCCAAUUGAAUGAAUUUAUAUCGCUGAGGCCAGGGAGCCACAAGCUACCUCUGAGUCAGCUGUUAAGGAGGAAAUAUAAACAAACUCCAGGCCCAGCCAUGCCAGCCAUGCCAGCCGUGCCUGACAAGCACUGUGGCUGCACGGAGCCUGCUCAGGUGUGCAAAGGCUCACAUGACAGUGCAAAGCCUCCUUGCAGCUCACCUGGCCAUCUGGGGCACAGCAACACUCAGGCAACAGAAGGCACCUCAGCUGAUGGCUGAAUGCGGUGGCUCAUGCCUGUAAUCCCAGCACUUUCGGAGGCAGGAGGAUCACUUGAGACCAGGAGUUUAAGACCAGCCUGGGCAACAUAAUGAGACCCCCACCAUCUCUAUUAUUUUUAAAAACAGAAGGCACCCCAGCUUAGGUCUAGAGAGGCUCCCCCUCCUUAGCCUCCCACAGAGCAUCAUCUGCAGUUUUGCAAAACCGUCCUGUGUUCUCUGUGCCCUGCGGAAAUGGCCAAACAGCUCCUCAGUGCCCCAAGAGAUAGAAUCAUGAAAAAAGCAGCUCGUAGUUCAAAAUGGAAGAACAUGAUAAAAGCAAGGCCCCUCCAUGGGUGUGAAGAGAUUUCUCUUUUACAGAGGAAAUUUGGGUGGGGGAGGCAGGACUUCUGCUGGAUCCACAGAGGAUCUUCCAUUAGCAAAAGGACAAUCAUUGUGAGUGAAAAGUGAAAAUUCUAAACUUAGAACCAGAAGGUGGGGAAGUGAAGAAAGUUCUUCCUUAUCUUCCCCCAACCCUUGUGGUUUUCACCCCCAUCUCAGCCCAUGUCUUUUGCCCCUGACUUCCCAGGUGUGGGAGUAGACUGAAGAUGUGGAACGUGUGGGAGGCUAGAGAGUAGGGAGAAUGUGGGUCUGCGUCUUUUUUGGAAGGAUUGCAGCCAAAAAUGCAGCGUUAUACAGCAGCCAGAAUGCACUCAGGUGUGGGGGCCAAUGCCGGCCACACCUUUCCAGAAGGUUCUGUUGGGCCCCUAGGGGACCAGGCAGCAUGGGGACUGCAGCGGAGCCCGGGAGGACAAGGGCUGGGCAAGCUCUGUUACCCAUUUGUUGGGCUCUGAGAGGCUUGGGCCACACCUCUGAGCCCCGUGUCACUAUAGACAUUGAGAAGUGGACUCUCGCUAGCCCAAACUCAACUUUGUGGCUCUUGGAAAGGACAGGGCCUGUCACGUGAUACUCCUGGCCCAGCACAAAGCUCCCAAUACAAUGGACCAUGCUGUGUAUCCACGGGUGGCAGCGAAGGCAGUGUGCUGAAGUCUGGGCAAAUGCAUGGCCGAUCCCAGGUUAUUACCAUAUUGGAUCGUGUGGUCUCUGCUCCAGGCUGGCUCGGUUCAGGGUUGGAUGAGUUUCUGCAUCCCCCCAACCCCGGCCCAACUACCCCCAACCCUGCAUGCUAAUGGAGGCGGAAUUAGGCAGAAUUCUGCACGCCUCCAAGUCAGGCGUUUCCGAUGACUCUUCCUGUGGGAGUCAGAGGGCAGGAUGGGAUGGGGUCAGCUGAGCCCUACAUCUGAAGCCUUGCCUCUAAAAAUAGCCCUUUCUUCCUGUGUCCAGGGCUCUGCCACGGGCCCUGCAGGAAAACGUCUGUUUCCAAGGCGGACGGAGCAUCUGGAAGCUCCGAGCAGCCACGCGCUUAUGCUCAGGCCUCAGCCAAGUGUCACCGGGGCCCUGGGGGCACCAUCUGGCUUUCACUUCCUCGAGGCUCCUGUCCCCUUCACUGAAUAAAUCCUGCAUGUUUAGAGCCUGGGUCACAGCAGAUCCAGCGGGUGUGUUGGGUGCAGCAGGUGUGCAUCCCAGGGGGCGCUGAGGCGAACCUACCAGAACCUUCUCUUCCUGCUGCCCUGGGAGGCUGUGUCUGCCCAAGCCAGCCACCGGGCCGGGUCCACUGCCUGGGGAUGGCUGUCCCCUGAGCUGCUGCUCUGUCCCCACCACGGAGGCUCGUCCAGCUGCCCGGGCAUGAGUCAUGGGCCAGCCCUGGGCGCUGCUGCGGAUUCAGAAGCUCGAGCCGUUUCCUGCAGAUAAGCGACAAGCGCCAGGGAAACCUGGCGGGGGUGGCCGCCCUGUGAGAUAGCGCUUCCUUCAAAGCCCCCCAAGCACUAAUUAGCCAUUCCAAGCAUAGUUUCAACAGCAUUUAGGGAUUUCCUCAUCAAAAUAAACUUCCUCCCAUGUUAUCUUCAUUUUUGGCAUCUGAUGGGAUCCUUUUUUUGUCUUAUUUAUUUAUUUAUUUUCUUUCUCU